UCAGCACAGCAGGACAACGGGCAGUUCCACAUACCGUUUGAAUCCGGAAGAUGUCGUCCUUGGUGUUGGUGUCGUUUGCCAGAGACGACACCCAGCCGAACUGCCUGUUGAGCAGGUCCAGGAUGGAGGAGGUGUUGAACAUCUUCUCCUCGAACCUCUUCAGGAGGCUGUUGUACUGCUGAGUGAAACGCUCGGCCAUGGCCAACGCCUCCUCCAGCUCCUCCUUCAGCGGGCCCUCCAGAGGUUUCUUCCCGGAGCAGUCUGUGAAGGAAACAGAUCAUCACUCAGAUCUCCAUAUCUGGGUUCCUGCUGGAAGAGGCUGCAUGAAAGAACACACCGGGACCUCACUGCACUGGACCUCACAGUUCUGCCCCAGGAGUGCUCCAGCUAAUUACUGAAUGAGGUCCACCUGGCCCUGGAAGGCGGUCUUUAAAAGCUCCUGUACCAGCAUCUGAAGGAGGCUUUUUGAUUUGGGACUGCUGCUUGCUGCCUCUCAGCUGGAGCAUUUUGUGUUAUGUUCUUGUGUGUUUUUGCUGUUCUUGAUUUAUUGUGUUAUAUUAAUAAAUCCUACUGAUUUGGUUGUUUUAAAGGUGUUUAAACCUGUGUUUAGUUCAGUUUAGUUCGCCUCAUGUAGCCACCAAAGGGUGGGGCGUAACAAAUUAUAAAGGAUAUUAUUCAUAUUUUAUUUUUAUUUAAUGUAUUUUUCCCUCAGUAUUGCUUGUUAGUUAUUUCUUUUUGCUGCCUAUAUAUAUGUUACACAUUUUCAAAUGUAUAUACUCAUUAAUCUUGUCUCCAUAUUUUGGAUUAAUACUAUUGGUUACAACAUCAAAGAAAAAUAAAACAAUAACCCGAGAGUUAUCUCACCAAUAUGCUGGAUGUCUCUGCAUUUCUGACACUCGUCACGGA